CACAGUCUCCAAGUUGGUAAGAUCCUACCUCAGAGACCAUUUAGUCUAACCCAUACCUGAAGUAUGGAUUUCUCUCCACAACAUCGAUGGAAAUACACUCAGAUUAAAACAGCCCAAGAGUGAAAUGGGCUGCUCCAUGAGGUAGUAAACUUUCUGUUCCUGGAGUUCUUCAAAUGACUCUAUGACCACUUGAUAAGAACGUUGGAGAGAAAAUUCCUCCUUAGAGAUGGCUACCAUUAGACACAGCAAUACCACUACUAGCUCUUGCCUUGAGGCCACCAUGGUUGAAUGCAAAUGUUUAGCUUGGAAAGGAUGUCUGUGAUCAGUCCAGCACUUUGCAUGGCACAUCACCUUUGACACUUUCACAUCCUGUCUGUCUCUUCUCCUUACAAUGCCAAUGUUUGCUGCAAGGGAACAUCCACGAAAUUUUAUUGCAUUGAGGUGCAUGGAAGACGGUGCUGGCGAGACGUUCAUGAG